rnacentral:tRNA from 1 species
GAGAGUGUAGCUCAAUGGUAGAGCACUUGCCUACCAUGCAUGAAGCCCUGAGUUCAAUCCCAGCACCA